AUUGAACGCUGGCGGCAGGCUUAACACAUGCAAGUCGAGCGAGCGGCGGACGGGUGAGUAAUGUCUGGGAAACUGCCUGAUGGAGGGGGAUAACUACUGGAAACGGUAGCUAAUACCGCAUACCAUCAGAUGUGCCCAGAUGGGAUUAGCUAGUAGGGGGGGUAAGGGCUCACCUAGGCGACGACACCUAGCUGCUCUGAGAGGAUGACCAGCCACACUGGAACGGUGACACGGCCCAGACUCCCACGGAAGGCAGCAGUGGGGAAUAGUGCACAAUGGGCGCAAGCCUGAUGCAUCCAUGCCGCGUGUGUAAAGAAGGCCUUCGGGUUGUAAAGCACUUUCAGCGAGGAGGCGUUACGCGCAGAAGAAGCACCGGCUAACUCCGUGCCAGCAGCCGCGGUAAAC
rnacentral:rRNA from 1 species